rnacentral:lncRNA from 1 species
GUUAAACCAAGGUCCUGACUCUCUGCGGUCAUUUAAAAUCACAUGGCUCUUCUCGUAAAGAGUAGGGGUGUCCUGGCCAAAUUGCCGCCACUGGCCCUUGUCUAUCAUGGCCUCAUAAUAAUCCCCAACCACUUGAUUGGCCCUGACUCUCUCUCUCUCUCCUCUCCACCUGUAGCUGGUGUGCAGUGAGCACACUGGUACCGUUGUCCUGUGGCUGCUGUCGCAAAAUCCAAGUGGAUGCUGCAUACUGGUGGUGGUUGAGGAGAGACCCCCCAGAUGAUUGUAAAGUGCUUUGGGUGUACAGCAAUACACAAAGUGCAAUAUAAAUGCUUCAUUCAUUUAUUCUAGGCCACCUGUGCAACUUACCCCCAUUGGCAAGAACCUACCGUCUACCACGUUGCAAACUGGUGCAGAGUGUGGAAACCCUUCAGAAGCCAGAACGCCAUCCUCCAUCCAGUCAGACAGCCAUGAAUCACAGGAAAUCACACACAAAAUGACGUUACUAACAAGAACUUAUCAGCAACUCUACUUCCACAACAAAACUGCUUUCUAUAAAAAGCUACAAACUGCAUUUUCACAAAAAGGGUACACCUUGUCAUAUGAGAAAAUUAGAAAAAAACUAGCAAACAUGUUAACAACUUACAAGAGAGUUAAGGACUGCCGCCUAGCAAAUGGGGUGGGGAAGCAAACCUGGGAGUACUAGACAGAACUGCACCACCUGGAACAAUUCUGCUCCACUCCUCUGUGUUUGGAAGAUCCACCUUCUCAAAACAGGCCUCCAACGAUUUCUCUUCCUCAAGCUCAGGCAGCAGGUGCUUCUGUGGACAAGCAGCCGGGGACCUCUGCCAGUACAAGCCUCUCCAACAGGCAGAGACCAUCACAACCCUUACAAUUUUUAGAGACAUACGAAGCACACGCACAGAGAAGGACAGCUGUGCUUGAGUCCCUUGGGAGGCCUGACCGGGAGAGAUGGCAGUGACUAAAAGAGAGGUGCAGACGAUCCUUUGAAAAAAAGAUGUUGACCAGCUUGGGAACAAUUGUGGAGGAGCUAAAGAAAAUAGGAAGACAACAAGAGCAAAUAAUACAGUCAUUGCAAAACCCAAUUGAACCACACUAAAAAGUACUUAUGAAAAACUGCAUCUUUACCAAAACAUUUAUUCUUUGUUAUAGAGUGUGUAUUUAUUUUUUUCACUUGAGCCCCCCCCCACCCCCAAAGAAUCAAGAAUACUAUUUAUUCUUUGUUAUAGAGUGUGUAUUUAUUUUUUCACUUGACGCCCCCCCCCCCCCAAAAGAAUCAAGAAUAUCCACUUUAAGUGAAUUUUAACAUCUCUUGCCUUUUAUCUUUGUUGCACUUAUUGUUAAACUUUAAUUAGUAACUCUCACAAUUACAGUAUAAAUUACACAAUUUUUACUUUAACAAGCUUGUACUGAAACAACUGCAUGUUGGUACUGUAACAUGCAAUCUAUUGUAUUUCAAAGCUAAAGUUGUCAACGCAAAUCUGCUUAAAAAACAAAAGAUACAGGUGUGAAAAGACCUGUUUCAGAUUAUGUGUAUUGUUUCAUGUAAGCAUCCACCCAAGAGGUGGAUUUUCAGGUUAAGAAAUGAGGUUAUGCCACAUUGAAUUAUGUACUGAAACUGGUGUUCAGAAUUGAUCUUUCUGCAUUGUAAGUUACUAUUUCUAUUCAGUUUACUCCAAACACCCAACUUCAUCUCUUACUAAUUUAUCUAUAAAAUUCUAUAUAA